UGCCAGCCGCCGCGGUAAUACGGAGGGUGCAAGCGUUGUUCGGAAUUAUUGGGCGUAAAGCGCGUGUAGGCGGUUCGUUAAGUCUGAUGUGAAAGCCCGGGGCUCAACCCCGGAAGUGCAUUGGAAACUGGCGAACUUGAGUACGGGAGAGGAAAGCGGAAUUCUUGGUGUAGCGGUGGAAUGCGUAGAUAUCAAGAGGAAUACCAAUGGCGAAGGCAGCUUUCUGGACAAAAACUGACGCUCAGGUGCGAAAGCGUGGGGAGCAAACAGGAUUAGAUA
rnacentral:rRNA from 1 species